UUUCCGUAGGUGAACCUGCGGAAGGAUCAUUAUUGUAUAACCGAGGUGCGAGGGCUGUCGCUGACCCGAAAGGUCGUGCACGCCCGAGUGCUCUCACACACAUCCAUCUCACCCCUAUGUGCACCACCGCGUGGGUCCCCCUUUGGCUUGUUCGGAGGGGGGCUUACGUUUUCACACAAACUUUGUAUGCAGUGUAGAAUGUAUUAUUUGUUUUUGCGAUCACGCAAUCAAUACAACUUUCAACAACGGAUCUCUUGGCUCUC
rnacentral:misc_RNA from 1 species